GAUCACCCAAUGUGUGAUCUUAAUGAAAUACUUGGGUGUGUAUUUCAUUAAGAUCACACAAGUAUUUCAUUAAGAUCACACACAUUGGGUGAUC
rnacentral:pre_miRNA from 1 species